rnacentral:rRNA from 1 species
AUUGAACGCUGGCGGUAUGCUUAACACAUGCAAGUCGAACGGUAACAGGCCUAGCUUGCUAGGUGCUGACGAGUGGCGGACGGGUGAGUAACGCGUGGGAAUCUGCCUUAUUGUGGGGGAUAACCUGGGGAAACUCAGGCUAAUACCGCAUGAGCCCUAAGGGGGAAAGGAUGGGACCGAAAGGCCAUUCGCGAUAAGAUGAGCCUGCGUUGGAUUAGCUAGUUGGUGGGGUAAAGGCCUACCAAGGCGAGGAUCCACAGCUGGUCUGAGAGGACGAUCAGCCACACUGGGACUGAGACACGGCCCAGACUCCUACGGGAGGCAGCAGUGGGGAAUAUUGGACAAUGGGGGCAACCCUGAUCCAGCAAUACCGCGUGUGUGAAGAAGGCCUGCGGGUUGUAAAGCACUUUCAGUGGGGAGGAAGAGCUCGGUGCUAAUAGUAUCGAGUUGAGACGUUACCCACAGAAGAAGCACCGGCUAACUCUGUGCCAG